rnacentral:rRNA from 1 species
GGGGAAUAUUGGACAAUGGGCGAAAGCCUGAUCCAGCAAUGCCGCGUGAGUGAUGAAGGCCUUCGGGUCGUAAAGCUCUUUUACCAGGGAUGAUAAUGACAGUACCUGGAGAAUAAGCUCCGGCUAACUCCGUGCCAGCAGCCGCGGUAAUACGGAGGGAGCUAGCGUUGUUCGGAAUUACUGGGCGUAAAGAGUACGUAGGCGGCUAUUCAAGUCAGAGGUGAAAGCCCGGGGCUCAACCCCGGAACUGCCUUUGAAACUAGGUAGCUAGAAUCUUGGAGAGGUCAGUGGAAUUCCGAGUGUAGAGGUGAAAUUCGUAGAUAUUCGGAAGAACACCAGUGGCGAAGGCGACUGACUGGACAAGUAUUGACGCUGAGGUACGAAAGCGUGGGGAGCAAACAGGA